rnacentral:rRNA from 1 species
AUUGAACGCUGGCGGCAGGCCUAACACAUGCAAGUCGAGCGGAUGAGAAGAGCUUGCUCUUCGAGUUAGCGGCGGACGGGUGAGUAAUGCCUAGGAAUCUGCCUGGUAGUGGGGGACAACGUUUCGAAAGGAACGCUAAUACCGCAUACGUCCUACGGGAGAAAGCAGGGGACCUUCGGGCCUUGCGCUAUCAGAUGAGCCUAGGUCGGAUUAGCUAGUUGGUGAGGUAAUGGCUCACCAAGGCGACGAUCCGUAACUGGUCUGAGAGGAUGAUCAGCCACACGGGAACUGAGACACGGUCCAGACUCAUACGGGAGGCAGCAGUGGGGAAUAUUGGACAAUGGGCGAAAGCCUGAUCCAGCCAUGCCGCGUGUGUGAAGAAGGUCUUCGGAUUGUAAAGCACUUUAAGUUGGGAGGAAGGGCAGUAAGCGAAUACCUUGCUGUUUUGACGUUACCAACAGAAUAAGCACCGGCCAACUACGUGCCAGCCGCCGCGGUAACAC